UACGUUGUUUUACACAUCAUGGCGAUGCUUCCGUGGCGAUAGUAGUGGUCGUAUUCCAACAUAAGUAUUGUUCGUUACUGUUAACGAGUAUUAUUGUGUUACGAUACGGUGUGAGAUUUUAAUAAUUUGUAGAAUAAUGCUCGCGAUAAAUGCACGCACGCACAUGACUCGUGCGUUCUGUAUGCAUAGGGAGUUUUACAGUAACGCAGAGUUACUUGAAAACUGCACGGAGAUCGUUAAUCGAAAUCCGCGAAAUUUGGAGCGACUGAGAAUAGCAAGGAAACCCGUAGGAUAUGGACUCGAUAAACCCGGUCGCACAUUCUGGCAUAAGCUAUUCGUGGUCAGGAAGCCUCGCCACAUUGUUGCAGAAGUACGUCAUUUUGAGAAUGGACCGGUUAUUACAGUUUCUAGUGCAGAAUGGGCAUUAAAGAAACAGUUAUAUCGGUAUAUUGAUGCUGCAGCUUAUAUUAACGUAGGACGUGUAUUAGCUCAACGCUGUUUGGAAUCUGGUAUUUGUGAAAUAAAAGUUGAUUAUUCAUUAACUGGAGAGAAAUUUGACUUAUUAGUUAAGGAAAUGGAAAACAGUGGAAUUAUUUUGAAUGAACCAAGAAGAUAUAAAUAUCCUUAUUUCUGGAGCAAAACCCGUCCAGAGAAGCCUUGGGAGAUUUUUGAAUAGUCACUAAACUAAAUUGUUCGCUUGGUGCAAAUAAAUAGAAAUGCAAUGAACACUUGAAAUAAUUUACAUAUAUGGCUACGUCGUGAAGAGCAUUACUAUUACAAAAAACUUGAAACCACUUAUCUGUGUAUUACACAGCAUAAUCGAGUUGCUAAUAAAUAUUCAUCCAUAUUAAAAAGAUCUUAUUCGCAGGAUACUCUCUUAAAAUGACCCAGAAGUUAUUUGUUUCAUUGUGUUAAAUCGCCGCAAAUAAUGCACGCUGUCUCAUUAAAAUCGACUCUAAUUUACGAAUCUUGAUGUACAAAAUUGACGAUAAGCAACAAAGUGACGUUUAACAGGAUACAGACGACUUAAUAUUGCAUAGUCCACACGUAGUACAUUCUGAAGUAAUAGAACUUAAUGUGCAGAUUUCGUUGAGGAUGGAUAAUUAUUAGUACACGACAUAUCGUGGUAUGUCACAACAGAACUCAUCUGCUGUGUGAGAUGAUAAUGCCACUAUCACCGUCGAUACGUCGUGCCGUUUAAUUAUACGUAUAUAACACUGUCUGUAAUGCGAGGAUAAGCCCCGACGGAAGAUAAUUUAUAAAAAAUAAAUAGCAGCGCUAUGCACUCUACUUGCAGGAGUGGAUAUCGACAUUCCUCACGCAGGUUUUGCACUCAACGUAGCAACACCAGUGGAACUUGCACUCGCAUCUCUCUUUGACGGUCGACUUCUGCGUAUUGUACCCUCUGCCGCAGCAGAGUAGAUUGCAACCGUCCAUACCAGACGACGUCCUGUUGCAUAUUCUGCCCUGUGUACCUGUUAAGGAAGAAAGCGAUUUUACAUCAACACAAACGAUGCGACGAGAAACAGACUAGAACGUAUCGAGCUCGAAAUAAAGAUUUUCAAAGUUCUAACGAUAA